rnacentral:rRNA from 1 species
ACGCACGCUGGCGGCAUGCCUCACCCCUGCCAGUCGCACGCGACCUUCGGGUCUAGUGGCGCACGGGUGCGUAACGCGUGGGAACCUGCCCUUAGGUUCGGAAUAACUCCCCGAAAGGGGUGCUAAUACCGGAUAAUGUCUUCGGACCAAAGAUUUAUCGCCUUUGGAUGGGCCCGCGUUGGAUUAGCUAGUUGGUAGGGUAAAAGCCUACCAAGGCGACGAUCCAUAGCUGGUCUGAGAGGAUGAUCAGCCACACUGGGACUGAGACACGGCCCAGACUCCUACGGGAGGCAGCAGUGGGGAAUAUUGGACAAUGGGCGAAAGCCUGAUCCAGCAAUGCCGCGUGAGUGAUGAAGGCCUUAGGGUUGUAAAGCUCUUUUACCCGGGAUGAUAAUGACAGUACCGGGAGAAUAAGCUCCGGCUAACUCCGCG